UACGUAGGUCCCGAGCGUUAUCCGGAUUUAUUGGGCGUAGAGCGAGCGCAGGCGGUUAGAUAAGUCUGAAGUUAAAGGCUGUGGCUGAACCAUAGUACGCUUUGGAAACUGGUUAACUUGAGUGCAGAAGGGGAGAGUGGAAUUCCAUGUGUAGCGGUGAAAUGCGUAGAGAUAUGGAGGAACACCGGUGGCGAAAGCGGCUCUCUGGUCUGUAACUGACGCUGAGGCGCGAAAGCGUGGGGAGCAAACAGG
rnacentral:rRNA from 1 species